UUAGGAAUCUUGCGCAAUGAGCGAAAGCUUGACGCAGCGACGCCGCGUGCGGGAUGAAGGCCCUCGGGUUGUAAACCGCUUUCAGCAGGGACGAAAUUGACGGUACCUGCAGAAGAAGCCCCGGCCAACUACGUGCCAGCAGCCUCGGUAAUACGUAGGGGGCAAGCGUUGUCCGGAUUUAUUGGGCGUAAAGAGCUCGUAGGCGGUUCCGUGAGUCGGCUGUGAAAUCUCCACGCUCAACGUGGAGGGGUCAGUCGAUACUGCGGUGGCUCGAGUCCGGUAGGGGAGUGUGGAAUUCCCGGUGUAGCGGUGAAAUGCGCAGAGAUCGGGAGGAACACCCGUAGCGAAGGCGGCACUCUGGGCCGGUACUGACGCUGAGGAGCGAAAGCGUGGGGAGCAAACAGGAUUAGAUACCCUGGUAGUCCACGCCGUAAACGUUGGGCACUAGGUGUGGGGCGCUAUCGACGCGUUCCGUGCCGUAGCUAACGCAUUAAGUGCCCCGCCU
rnacentral:rRNA from 1 species